rnacentral:rRNA from 1 species
AACGAACGCUGGCGGCAUGCCUAACACAUGCAAGUCGAACGAGACCUUCGGGUCUAGUGGCGCACGGGUGCGUAACGCGUGGGAACCUGCCCUUAGGUUCGGAAUAACUCCCCGAAAGGGGUGCUAAUACCGGAUAAUGUCUUCGGACCAAAGAUUUAUCGCCUUUGGAUGGACCCGCGUUGGAUUAGCUAGUUGGUAGGGUAAAAGCCUACCAAGGCGACGAUCCAUAGCUGGUCUGAGAGGAUGAUCAGCCACACUGGGACUGAGACACGGCCCAGACUCCUACGGGAGGCAGCAGUGGGGAAUAUUGGACAAUGGGCGAAAGCCUGAUCCAGCAAUGCCGCGUGAGUGAUGAAGGCCUUAGGGUUGCAAAGCUCUUUUACCCGGGAUGAUAAUGACAGUACCGGGAGAAUAAGCUCCGGCUAACUCCGUG